rnacentral:rRNA from 1 species
UCCUACGGGGGGCAGCAGUGGGGAAUAUUGCACAAUGGGGGAAACCCUGAUGCAGCGACGCCGCGUGAGUGAAGAAGUAUUUCGGUAUGUAAAGCUCUAUCAGCAGGGAAGAAAAUGACGGUACCUGACUAAGAAGCCCCGGCUAACUACGUGCCAGCAGCCGCGGUAAUACGUAGGGGGCAAGCGUUAUCCGGAUUUACUGGGUGUAAAGGGAGCGUAGACGGCAUGGCAAGUCAGAUGUGAAAGCCCGGGGCUCAACCCCGGGACUGCAUUUGAAACUGUCAGGCUGGAGUGCAGGAGAGGUA